GAUGAACGCUGGCGGCGUGCCUAAUACAUGCAAGUCGAGCGAACAGACGAUGAGCUUGCUCCUCUGACGUUAGCGGCGGACGGGUGAGUAACACGUGGAUAACCUACCUAUAAGACUGGGAUAACUUCGGGAAACCGGAGCUAAUACCGGAUAAUAUAUUGAACCGCAUGGUUCAAUAGUGAAAGACGGUUUUGCUGUCACUUAUAGAUGGAUCCGCGCCGCAUUAGCUAGUUGGUAAGGUAACGGCUUACCAAGGCAACGAUGCGUAGCCGACCUGAGAGGGUGAUCGGCCACACUGGAACUGAGACACGGUCCAGACUCCUACGGGAGGCAGCAGUAGGGAAUCUUCCGCAAUGGGCGAAAGCCUGACGGAGCAACGCCGAGUGAGUGAUGAAGGUCUUCGGAUCGUAAAACUCUGUUAUUAGGGAAGAACAAAUGUGUAAGUAACUAUGCACGUCUUGACGGUACCUAAUCAGAAAGCCACGGCUAACUACGUG
rnacentral:rRNA from 1 species